rnacentral:rRNA from 1 species
CUUGCUUCUUUGCUGGCGACCGGCGCACGGGUGAGUAACACGUAUCCAACCUACCCUUUACUCGGGGAUAGCCUUUCGAAAGAAAGAUUAAUACCCGAUAGCAUAAUGAUUCCGCAUGGUUUCAUUAUUAAAGGAUUCCGGUAAAGGAUGGGGAUGCGUUCCAUUAGGUUGUUGGUGAGGUAACGGCCCACCAAGCCUUCGAUGGAUAGGGGUUCUGAGAGGAAGGUCCCCCCACAUUGGAACUGAGACACGGUCCAAACUCCUACGGGAGGCAGCAUG